CCCCCUUCAUCCCUCCACAGGUUCUACAUGAAGGAGAACGAGGUGAGGACCAUCGCAUCAGUCUCUGAGGAUGGCCUGGAGGUCACACUGACAGAGGCACUGGAGCACACCCACCUCUCCGUCACCCAGACUCUUGGGGGACACACAGUGGAGACACGUGCAGAGGUGGGACUCCUCACCCACAAUGUCAAGAUCCAGGGAAAUGUUGGCACCGACUUCAGUGUGGCUAUUGAGGGCUGUGACACUGCUUUUAGGCCUGACCAGCACGCCACCCAGUCAUGUUUCAAUGGUCGACAUGGAGACGAGAUUGGCGGUGACCAAUUUGGCGCCACCGUGAUACUGUCUGGAAAGUUCCCUGACCUGGACUUGGUGAUGGGACGCAUUGAGUACGUGGAGGUGACCAAGGCUGGUCAGGCAUUCCAACUUGGCCGGUACCCACUCCACUUCCACCUGGCUGGGGACAUGGGUGGUUCGUACAUCCGCGGGUGCUCCAUCCACCACACCUACAACCGCGCAGUGACAAUGCACGCAACAGACAACCUGCUGGUGGAGCAUAAUGUGGCGUACAACAGCAUGGGUCACGCUAUCUUCACAGAGGAUGGGGUGGAGCAGAACAGUGUGGUGCAGUACAACCUUGCAGUCUACACCAGGACCUCCUCUUCCCUUCUUAAUGUGGAUGUGACACGCUCCUCAUUCUGGGUGGUGAACCCAAACAACAUUUUCCGUCACAAUGCAGCUGCCAGUGGAACACACUUUGGUUACUGGUACAGGCUGGACCACCACCCCUCGGGCCCAUCCGCCACCAACAUCUACUGCCAGAACACUGAAAAGAUGGGACUCUUCUUCAAUAACACUGCACAUUCCAUGGGAAGGUAUGGUCUGUGGGUGUUCUCCAAUCAAGGAUAUCACCCAAAGUCCAACAUCUGUGGAGGCAGGGAUGUGGGGGCCAAGUGGGAAAGCUUCACCGCGUGGCACUGUGAGCGGGGUGCCGAGGCAGUAUCUGGCACUAAGCUGCAGUUCCACAACUUUGUGAUGCUUGAUAACCAACAGGCUGGCAUGGAGAUGGUGUCUGUGAAGGGAGGGUUCGGACAGGAUGACAGCCCUGGCAUCUUCAAUUCCCUGGUGGUGUGUCACUCGGCCCUCAACUCCAGUGCCUGCACCUCAGGAACCAGUGGUAUUGUGGCGCCCAAGACCCAGAUCUUUAGUAUCUCCAAUGUCACAUUUGUUAACUUUGAUGAGGGUGGAAGUGCUGCGCUGUCUGGCUGUUCUCAGUGCAGGAACUACCAGGGAGGCUACAGGGCCCAGGUUAAGGGUCUGGCCUUUGAGAAUUCACCCAACAAGAUCAGGUUUCAGUGGGAACACGAGACAAUCUGGAUAGACGCUGAUGGCUCUCUGACGGGCGAACCGGAGGCGAAUGUUGUUCCCACAAUGGGCAUCUUACCAACUGAUUCCUGCACUCAAGAAGCAGCAUUCUCUGUCACCAAGAAUGUGCCAGGAUCAGUUUGCCGAGGGGCCAUGAAAUUCCUGCGAGUGGCCGUCACCAAUCCGAGCCCUUCCUCACUGCUUGGCAAGGACCUGGUGGUGAGCAACGACUUCGGCGCCACCCACAUCCCUUACCUCAUGCUCCAUUGGUGGUGCUGGCUGGAUGGGGCUUGUCUACACUAGUGCCACCUUUGACUUCAACUUUGAAAAUGCUAAUCAAUUCGUCAACAUGUCAUACAAGACUAACACAAAAUUCAUGACAAGAAAUGACCACUAUUUUGUGAAACACACACUCACCCAGACACCUGACAGAAUUGAGACGACCAAGGGUGAGAGGGAGAGCCUGGAGUCCCUGCCUGACCUCACCACAAACAUUCAUGGGGACUUCUACUGGGACACAGACUCAAAGGAACUCACAUACAUGGUGUCGCACAGUAAAAAGACUACAAAAAAGGCAUGGCAACAUGGUCUUUGAUGACUGAGUUCCUGGUCAAUCAAGGCAGAUCAGUUUCAGUGUGUAUAAGUGUCAGCACAAAGGAUGUUCUGCGCCUGACCCUAGACCAGUCCCCACAACACAUCCAGACGCACCUUUCCGCUGGUCUGAUGUGGAGACGUGGAAGCAUAUACCAGUCAGUACUGGUGGCCACCCAACAGAGGCAGAAUACAGCCUGCCCGUGGAGGGAGAUGAGAUUGUGAUUCCUGAGAGCAUGUGGCUCGUUGUGGACACGGCCACACCCAAGCUUGGCCGUGUCUUUGUGUAUGGCACCAUUGAGUUUGAUGACACGAUGGACCACAGAUUUGAGGCCACCAUUAUUUACAUCCAGGUGUGUUUGGCUAUCUCAGGCUGCAUGGGCAGGUGUGGGGGAGAUCAUGGCACAAGCUUGGGGCCACAGUGGAGGUUGGGACCGGCCACAUAACUCUGGCCAAGGAUCCUGAUGCUUCCUGGCUCAAUAAGGA